rnacentral:rRNA from 1 species
AUGUUUGGUUGCAACAAUGUCAUUUCUUCACAUAUUUCAUGUUCCAUUGAUUACUACAUGAUUGACUUUAUCGCCUCACACAUGAUGAACAAUUGCUCUUUCUAUUGUGUUGAGUGCCACACUAUAUUCACUACGCCCUAUGCACGUUAUGCUUGGGUUGUCUUGCACUUGACCCAUGUGUUUAGACACUUCAUUUUAUUUGGUUUUGUGAAUGAUUCUUAUGCCUACCAUAGACCUUUCAUUGAACGCUUUGUGAAUGCUUGCUAUGAACUUGAGGUAGAUGCUUAUUCUCUUAUCACACAUAUUUGCAUCUCUACCUCACAUUUACAUGUUUGUUUCCAUGAUGACCUUGAUUUUGCUCAAUUCAUAUGCUUAAAUGUCAUGACACAAUCCUUUGUCAAACCAUAUGUUAUGCUUGAUGACAACACUUGUUGGGUGAAUCACCUCUCGAAUGCUUGGUUUUGCUCUAACGCCAACCUUACUUGUUUUUCCAAGUGCUUGUUAUGCUUGCUCCUUUUUACGGAACCACAAGACGGUGCGACUUUCGAGAGUGUCCAUUUCGAGCUACAAGAUGAUGAAUGCUUGGUGAUCGUCAACUUCUACACGGCGAUAUCAUCUCUUUCCCAUGGUGAUUUGGAUUUCGAUUCGAGGUCAGAUCUUUCCCAAGGGGGAGGGGAUGAUGCGGAGCAUCCUACGGGCAUCACCAUGUCAAGAGUCCGUUUGGCAAGUGACACGCACGACCUCUACUUCUCAUACGUAAAGGUGAAUCUUCUCCUUUACACGUGUUCACUUGACCCCUUCGAGGAUGGUAUACUACUUGACACUCCACUCGUGUGCAUGCAUAGGUAUUGCCAGAACUUUGCGGACAACAAGGAGGAGUGCAAGCGCCAAGGAACGCCUACACCAUCCGCGAGGGAAGCGUGGAAGCGAAAGCGGAAGAAGAAGGAUCUACCCAGCCCAGAAGGACCGGAACAACCGCCCAACUACCGGCGGAACAACCGGCCGACUACUGCCCAACAACCGGCCCACCUUCUAUGA